UACAGAGGUGACAAACGUUGUCCGGAAUUAUUGGGCGUAAAGGGCGCGUAGGUGGUUGAGUAAGUCAGGUGUGAAAGCUCUGGGCUUAACCCAGGAAUUGCAUCUGAUACUGCUCGGCUUGAGUACGGUAGAGGAGGGUGGAAUUCCCAGUGUAGCGGUGAAAUGCGCAGAUAUCAGGAGGAACACCGAUGGCGAAGGCAGGUCUCUGGGCCACUACUGACGCUGAGAAGCGAAAGCAUGGGGAGCGAACAGG
rnacentral:rRNA from 1 species